AAAAACUGUUGUAAAAAAGUAUAAUAUAAUAAACACCUAUCUUAUCCCACUACCACUGACUUUGCUGAUAAAUACUUUGUUGAGGGAAAAUGUACUUGAUACGAUUGUGAUGGGUUGUUGUCUCACCUAGCUAUCUUAAAAUGAAUACACUAAUUGUAAGUCACUCUGGAUUAGAGCGUCUGCUAAAUGACUAAAAUGUCAUAUAAAAUAUAUUUUUUAAAGUUUAUCAUACUAAUUUGAGUAUCCUGAUUUAAGAUUACUAUGUUACGUCUAGUCUAUGAGACCAGGCUGAAUCGAAGCAGCAAAAUAGGUGGCAGAAUCCUGCAGUUAAACUGGAUUUAACAACAGUGUCAGGCUCUGCCCUCGAAUGAAGAGGAAGAUAAUCGAUUUAUUUUGAUCUUCUUGGUUUGGACAGGAAUAGCCUAAUAUCAUGCCAGUGAAAGCCAACAUUUUUAUGUGGGCCGUUUACACAGUGGAACCUCGUUUACAUGCUGAUUGAUUUUAGUUCAAUAUGUCUUUAUCUGCAUCUACAACUAUCCCACCUGCGCUGACAGCGGAUCAGCUAACGGUCAUCGUGGCCUCCGGUGAGUGAUGGCAGUCACAAAAACUCAAGUAGGCUGCUGCUAAUCCAUGAACAUAUAUAUUCAGUCGACAUAAACCUGUUGCUCUGAUACAGGACUGGCUAACUGUUGAUCGUUUAGUUAUGUAUGUUUUGCAUGUGUUAUAAAUACACAUUAAAAAGGAAUCAUGGAUAACCUAUAUGUUUACAUUAAUGCUAGAUAUGUUUUAUAAAGCUUCGUAGUCACGUGUCAUGUGUUCUUGUUGCCUCAUUUCUGUAGUGUCCUGCCUGGUGUUCUUCGUAGUGAUUCUCAUGCUCCUGGUGGUCUUGUACAGGAAAGACCCUUUCUGCUGCAGGGUGUCGAACUACCAGGCCAACCAGCGCUGUACAGAUGCUCCACCCCAGUACAACAGAAGACAGUCUCUAGUGGUGUCUCCCUACAAUGAACAUACUGCUGCCAUGGCCCAUGGAAACAUUGGAUCCCAGCUUCCAGGGAGGCUGUUUAUCAUCGGUAAGCCCAGCAGCUAUCACCUGGAUGGGAUCCUGCCCCGCCUUCCGUCCUACGAGAGCGUCCGUAAGAAGGACCGUCAGAGACAUAUCCACUCUAUGAUAGCCGACCGCUUUGGUAUCAGCCCCACACAGUCUGAAACGGAGCCUCCUCCGACUUACGAGGAGACUCUUCGCCAGUCCAUGAUCAUCUCCUCUGAAGACCCUCAGUCUGUUGAGGCACUUCCCUCGGACCUCCCUCUCUCCACCUGUAACUCCAGCCUUGAACACACAGUGACAGUAGAUGCAGCCAUGUCACCCUACCGCCCUAUUCAGAGCUCGACCCGGGAACCCGUCUCUGUCUAG
rnacentral:lncRNA from 13 species